rnacentral:lncRNA from 1 species
CCGCUCCCUUCUCUCGUCACUUUUCCGCGGGAGCCAACAGCUCGGCUCCCGGGAACCGCUCGUUUCCAACACCCGCACUAACGUCCUGUUCAAGUUUUGGCUCGGAAAACACCGCGGGGCUUGCGGCUAGCGCGCCACCUGCCGGUGACACAGUCCUCCGGGGGACCCCGCUCCGCCAACACACGCCUCAGACGCCCAAAAUUCCACCUCUGCAGAGUCACUCCUUGGUUUGGCAGCGCGCCCUGGGAAGGGUGACACACACUACUAGGAGUUUUGCAGACCUGUCCUUACGUCCUGGGCUCGGGACCUGGAGAAAGUGGGAUGAGUCUCCACUUGACAAGUGGAGAGCUCCCGACGCUGAGGACAAGCUUACACUGCAAGGUCUGACUCCCUACAAGCAGUGCAGGUUUUGGAGGAGAAGAAAAUGAUUAUCAUCGGUACCUUCUUUUUUCUCCUUAGUACUGGGAAUUGAACUGAACCCUGCAGACCUCCAGAUGCGAGGCAACUGUUCACCCCUCAGCUACGUCCCCAGACCUUUUUCCAAUUUUAAGACAGGGUCUCACCGUUUUCCAAACUGGUAAAGGUCUGUUCUGAUUUCAUUUGGUAGUGGAGUCUGGAGACAACGCAUAACCGAGAAAAUGGAAGGAAAAGAUGGAAAGCAGAUGCGCCUCUUGAUAAGCAGCUGAGGGAAAUGUAUUUGGUGUCUGCCACAUCUCUGCACCUUUCAGAUAACUUUUGUGUGUCAUUGAUCCUAGCAAGAAUCCAUCUGCCUGGCGACUUGGGAAACAAAGGUAAAGGUUUCCUGGGAUGAGUCUUCUCCCGGCUGGCUCUCACUGCCCUGCAUCUCAAACUCCAGACCACUGAAGGAAACAAGACCGAGACCCCUGACCCUGGGUCCAAUCAGCCUUCAGAGUUUCUGUUUGCUAUGGGAUAUCACCCCAUCGUUUAUAACAGCAUCUGAGGAAGAGAAUUCACAGUCAUUUUCUGUUAGUAAAUUGCCUCUCUGAAAAACAAACAAACAAACAAAAAGGCUCGCACCUCCAUCAACAUCAGUUACCUCCGUAGACAAGGUCGCUCUGCUCUCCGGUUCACUCAGGAUCAUUAUUCUCAUCAUCCUGAGAGAAAGAGAAAGAAAGAUAGAGAAGUGCAGGUGAACUCAGAAGACAACCGCUGAGAGUCUGUUUCCUGUGAGGAUCAAACUCAGUCAGGCUUCCAAGGCAAGCACAGUUACUGAGUCUUCUUGUCAGCCCUCUCUCAAGAGUCUGCAAGUGUGUUUUAUCUACAUGUAAUAGCUGCACCAUUUGUGGGGGUGCAGUGUGCCACCUCAUAAGUGAUGAUUAGAUCAGCGUGAUUGGCUCAGCCAUCGCUCGUCUCCAUCCAGAGCGUUUACAAUCCUGUCUCCUAGCUGUUGAAUUCGAUACAUUGUUGUCAGGCACCGUUAUCCUCGCCUGCUGUUCAAAGCAGUGCCAGUUCGUCCUCCUAUCCAGCUGCACCUGUUCUUAACCAUCUCUCUACAUCCCAUCCUCCCUCGUGUCUGCCCCAGGCUCUGGUAACAGCUGUCCUACUCUGUGCUCUCGGGAGAGGCACUCUUUAACCUCUACACAUGUCACCGUAUCAGUUCUUCCAACAGCCAAAACAUGGUUAACCCAUGACCACUUUGGAGCAGAAAUAACUUUGGCCUCAUAGUCAUGGCAGUGGUACCGAGCAAUAAGUGAUAACUAGGUCUAUGGGAACAGUAAGGGGACUGCUACCACACCCUAGAAAAAACGGGAGUAUGUCAUGGGAUCUUAGCCUGGAAUUCUAGUCACCCCCAUACAACUUCCCUAAAGUCACCACUCAUGAAGUAGGACCUUUUGGUGAUGAAGCUGUCUUUGAGUCACCCAAGCUCCCGUAAGUAACCCCUCACCUGUGCUCCUAUAAUAAAUAAACCAGUAACCUCAUUGGUUUACUAA